rnacentral:lncRNA from 1 species
CUCAGUUUAACGUACUGAGUAAGAAUAUAUUUUAAGUUUUCAGUUUCGACCCCAUUUGGUCACCGAAAACUGUACCGAACUGUAAUCUUUAUCAGAUAGCUGUCGGAUUUUAUUUCUCACUCUACGGGUGUCAGAAAAAUAUGAAACUUUAAAUCUAGCCUCAUAAAAAUAUUUCUGACUUAUCCUCCAAUUUUCAUAAUUUUCUGAGACUGUGUAUUUUCUGCUAAUUUAUCUGUCCCGUUUCCAACAGAAAAUUCUAGAUCUUCUGUUUUCAUUCCGAUUUCAGCACAAGUCACUUCUGACUUAUGUUUUACUUCUAUAAAUCCAAUAAAAAUAGUUUCUCACACUAUUUUUAUUUAUUUUUAUUUUUAUACCAAAUCU